GACGAACGCUGGCGGCGUGCUUAACACAUGCAAGUCGAACGGAAAGGCCCUGCUUGGGUGGGGGGCUCGAGUGGCGAACGGGUGAGUAACACGGGAGUAACCUGCCCUGGACGUGGGGGUAACGUCAGGAAACGGGGGCUAAUACCGGAUAGGAGCUCCUGCUGGAGGGGGGGGGUUGGAAAGUUUGGGCGGUUGGGGAUGGACUCGCGGCUUAUCAGCUUGUUGGUGGGGUAGUGGCUUAGCAAGGCAUUGACGGGUGGCCGGCCUGAGAGGGUGACCGGCCACAUUGGGACUGAGAUACGGCCCAGACUCCUACUGGAGGCAGCAGUGGCGACUAUUGCCCAAUGGGCGGGAGCCUGAUGCAGCAACGCCGCGUGCGGGAUGACGGCCUUCGGGUUGUAAACCGCUUUCGCCUGUGACGAAGCGUGAGUGACGGUAAUGGGUAAAGAAGCACCGGCUAACUACGUG
rnacentral:rRNA from 1 species